rnacentral:rRNA from 1 species
UAGGGAAUAUUGCGCAAUGGGGGCAACCCUGACGCAGCGACGCCGCGUGAGCGAAGAAGGCCUUCGGGUCGUAAAGCUCUGUCCUAUGGGACGAGAGAGGAUGGUACCAUAGGAGGAAGCCCCGGCUAACUACGUGCCAGCAGCCGCGGUAAUACGUAGGGGGCGAGCGUUGUCCGGAAUCACUGGGCGUAAAGGGUGCGUAGGCGGACUGUUAAGUCUGAUGUGAAAGACCAUGGCUUAACCAAGGGAAUGCAUUGGAAACUGGGAGUCUGAGAGUGCAGGAGAGGGAAGCGGAAUUCCCGGUGUAGCGGUGGAAUGCGUAGAUAUCGGGAGGAACACCAGAGGCGAAGGCGGCUUCCUGGACUGUAACUGACGCUGAGGCACGAAAGCUGGGGGAGCGAACAGGAUUAGAUACCCUGGUAGUCCCAGCCGUGAACGAUGGAUACUAGGUGUUGGCGGUUCAGACCGUCAGUGCCGGAGCAAACGUGAUAAGUAUCCCGCCUGGGGAGUACGGUCGCAAGACUG